CAGCAGCCGCGGUAAUACGUAGGGUGCAAGCGUUAAUCGGAAUUACUGGGCGUAAAGCGUGCGCAGGCGGUUCUAUAAGACAGAUGUGAAAUCCCCGGGCUCAACCUGGGAACUGCAUUUGUGACUGUAGAGCUGGAGUGCGGCAGAGGGGGAUGGAAUUCCGCGUGUAGCAGUGAAAUGCGUAGAUAUGCGGAGGAACACCGAUGGCGAAGGCAAUCCCCUGGGCCUGCACUGACGCUCAUGCACGAAAGCGUGGGGAGCAAACAGGAUUAGAUACCCCUGUAGUCCCUGUCUCUUAUUC
rnacentral:rRNA from 1 species